AUUGCGUACACGCCGUUAGCUCCAAAAACGGCGCCCUCACGGGUGCCCUAUAGUCAGUUCAACCUUUCCCUAUUCCCUCCCCCUCCCGAGCUCGUCGGCGGAGGGCGAAAAAACGGCGGCGGCGAGCAAUAUGGGAGGAGCUGCUGCCCUGCCCGACAACUCACUCGAGUUUCUACUGGAUCUGGUUGACAGGUUUCCGCUCAGAGAGGUCAUUGCGGACGUUCAGCAGUCAGAUCCGUUGGCGGUGAGGCUCGACCCCCCCUGCGCGGUUGUGGUUGGACAGUUCGGCGGCGCUGUUGAGCACAUGAAUUCUGGCGGCUAGAAGAAAGAAUCACCAACCCAGUCCAUGGAAUCGACCGGCAAGGUGAACCCAGAGGUGCCGGGGUGGCCCAGAAGGUUGAGAAUUGGCCGUGCACCUCCGGAUAGGGCACCCUGCCCCUGGUAGAGUCACUCCACUGGAAGAAACAAUUCAGAUGUACAACCAUCGGACAAUGUAGAGAAACCAGAGAUUGGAAUGAGUUUUGACUCCCUAGGGAAGCCUACGAUUUCUAUAAGUUGUAUUCUAGGGAGCUUGGAUUUGGUAUAAGAUAUGGCAACUGUCGUCUGAAUGUCGAGCGGACAAAUUGUAUGCAGGAGAUCGUCUAUGGAUGCUUGGGAAAUCCUGAGCAGCAGAAUAGCUGGUCUUGCCGGUGCGAGUGCCCUUAAAUGAUCAGACUUUUUAGAGCUGCUCACAAUGGAUGGUUGAUAGGUGAGCACCGGUCAAGCCACAACCAUUCAAUGUCCCUUACUUGCGGUGAAAAGGUUCAUUGGCCGUCCCACAAGCACAUAGAUAUGUACACAAAAGACUUGGUGAAGCAGCUUAGGGGGAACAAUGUGAACCUCAACAAGGUGUACACCAUAGUUGGCAGCUUCUCCUGUUCAUCUCAAAAUGUGCCUUUGACAAAGCAGUCUUCUCCUGAAUCUGUGUGGCCGGAUAAGUCGAGACCAGGCUGCCGAUGAUGUGAACAAGACCCUUGCUGUGUUUAAAGAGAUACAAUGCAACGACCCAGAGUUCACCUACAGAAUCCAAGGGGAUGACGAAAGCAGAAUCAAGAAUCAUGUGGACAAAUGAAAAUAGCAAGCUGCAGUACAAAUUCUUUGGUGAUGUCAUCGUUUGGCACAACGUAUCGGACUAAUUAAUCUCUAUGACAUGCCCUUUGGGUUGUUUGCUGGAGUGAACAAUCACUUCCAGAGCAUAAUUCUAGCUGGUGUCUGGAUGCGUGACGAGUAAGUCGGGAGCUUCCAAUGGGUGUUCUCUGAAUUCAUCAACGUGAUGAGGGGUAGACACCUACAGACAAUACUGACAGAUAUGUACAUUGCUCUCUGAGCAGCACAUAUUACGACUAAUAUGUGAAAUGUACAUUCAGAUAACUAUGUUGUUUUAUGUGCAAAUUGUAGAUCAAGCGAGAGACAUGGAAGUUGCAAUCAAGACUGAGUUACCCGGGACUGUACACACCUACUCGGUGGCCCCGAUGAUACGGUCGGCAGCAGCGGUGGCGUUAUCUCCACAACGGGGAUGUUCUUCCUCCACAUGUACAUGCUUUAGCAAAUACAUAUAUUUUUUCAAGUACUACUACAUACAUAAGAAUUACUCUGAACUUCUGAAGUGUGAAUUGCCUAUAUAGUGUCAGUUUUCAGAAAACAACCUUGUUUAUGUGAUGGUUCAAUGGCCGAAUGAUAUUAUUCUUGACAAACUUGUUUUAUAAAAACAAAUGGUGUUGCAGACACGCGUCUUAGGAAAAUCAACAAGCAGUAUUGGUGGUUUGUGAGAACUGAACCUUUGAAUCCAUUGAGAACCAGGGUGCUGGUAUUUUGAGUCCAAUUUAUACGGCUGAUCAGGCUUUAAACUUUGCUGAUUGUUCGCGGAGGGACAACUUGACAGCAUGCUGUUUCAUCAUAUCAUUGCAAAUACUCUUCAUUCAAAACUCUUGUGCCUUUUGUGAACACACGGUAUAGUCGAGCAUUCAUAUGGUGACUUCCAACUACAGAAUUAUCUCUGAAUCGGUGAAUCCACAUCCUGGAAGCGGAAUAAUCUCCAAACCUCAUGCUCGAAUUGGUUUGCACAAGUAAUUAUUUACCAACUGGAUUCAAAUAUGCAAAGUCUUCCAAGCAAAACUGCAGGAAGCAAGAAACCAAGCAGUAGUUUGUAAUCCUGUUGAGUUUACUGAAUGGACUUCAUGUUUACUAAAUGUUGAGUUUACUGAAUGGACAUCAUAUUUCAGAAUUUUGAGGGUUCUCUUGGCUGUACACUGAAUCUUGAGUUUGUGUCUUUCUGUACACUUUCUUGCUUUCUCAGCAAGAAAGCAUCAAAACGUUGAGUUUACUGAAUCUUGUGUAUUUUUUACGUGCCUAGUAAUCAUCAG